rnacentral:rRNA from 1 species
GAUGAACGCUGGCGGUAUGCUUAACACAUGCAAGUCGAACGAAAUCUUUCGGGAUUGAGUGGCGGACGGGUGAGUAACGCGUGAGAAUCUGGCUUCAGGUCUGGGACAACCACUGGAAACGGUGGCUAAUACCGGAUGUGCCCUUAGGGGUGAAAGGUUAACUGCCUGAAGAUGAGCUCGCGUCUGAUUAGCUAGUUGGUAGAGUAAGAGCCUACCAAGGCGACGAUCAGUAGCUGGUCUGAGAGGACGAUCAGCCACACUGGGACUGAGACACGGCCCAGACUCCUACGGGAGGCAGCAGUGGGGAAUUUUCCGCAAUGGGCGAAAGCCUGACGGAGCAAUACCGCGUGAGGGAGGAAGGCUCUUGGGUCGUAAACCUCUUUUCUCAGGGAAGAACAAAAUGACGGUACCUGAGGAAUAAGCAUCGGCUAACUCCGUGCCAGCAGCCGCGGUAAUACGGAGGAUGCAAGCGUUAUCCGGAAUGAUUGGGCGUAAAGCGUCCGCAGGUGGCGAUGUAAGUCUGCUGUUAAAGAGUCUAGCUCAACUAGAUAAGAGCAGUGGAAACUACAUACGCUAGAGUGCGUUCGGGGCAGAGGGAAUUCCUGGUGUAGCGGUGAAAUGCGUAGAGAUCAGGAAGAACACCAGUGGCGAAGGCGCUCUGCUAGGCCGCAACUGACACUGAGGGACGAAAGCUAGGGGAGCGAAUGGGAUUAGAUACCCCAGUAGUCCUAGCCGUAAACGAUGGAUACUAGGCGUGGCUUGUAUCGACCCGAGCCGUGCCGUAGCUAACGCGUUAAGUAUCCCGCCUGGGGAGUACGCCGGCAACGGUGAAACUCAAAGGAAUUGACGGGGGCCCGCACAAGCGGUGGAGUAUGUGGUUUAAUUCGAUGCAACGCGAAGAACCUUACCAAGGCUUGACAUGUCGCGAAUCUUGAUGAAAGUUGAGAGUGCCUUCGGGAGCGCGAACACAGGUGGUGCAUGGCUGUCGUCAGCUCGUGUCGUGAGAUGUUGGGUUAAGUCCCGCAACGAGCGCAACCCUCGUUUUUAGUUGCCAGCAUUAAGUUGGGCACUCUAGAGAGACUGCCGGUGACAAACCGGAGGAAGGUGGGGAUGACGUCAAGUCAGCAUGCCCCUUACGCCUUGGGCUACACACGUACUACAAUGCUCCGGACAGAGGGCAGCAAGCAUGCGAAUGCAAGCAAAUCCCGUAAACCGGAGCUCAGUUCAGAUCGCAGGCUGCAACUCGCCUGCGUGAAGGAGGAAUCGCUAGUAAUUGCAGGUCAGCAUACUGCAGUGAAUUCGUUCCCGGGCCUUGUACACACCGCCCGUCACACCAUGGAAGCUGGUAGUGCCCGAAGUCAUUACUCCAACCUUUCGGGGGGGAGGAUGCCUAAGGCAGGACUGGUGACUGGGGUGAAGUCGUAACAAGGUAUCCGUACCGGAAGGUGUGGCUGGAUCACCUCCUUUUUAGGGAGACCUACACCCCUCAGAAAUCGAAAAACA